CAGGGAGGAGGAACGUAUAGACAUGGCCGCAGAAAGAAUGCAGCUCAGGGGGCUGUGCCACGGUCCCAAUGGGCUGAACAAGAAAGAGAAGAGAUACACAUGUCAGGGUCGUGGGGUCUCAGCCAACCAGCAUUACUAGAGCAGGAUCCAACCCACAUUAGCCUUUUUUCUACUAUCCUGUUUCCCACACCUGUCCUGUCUCCAGAACACAUGCAAUGAACAGCCAAGACACCAGGGCACCAUCCAGUGCAAUGAACAGCCAAGACACCAGGGCACCAUCCAGUGCCAUGAACAGCCAAGACACCAGGGCACCAUCCAAGUCAGAGCCAACACGUUCCUGUGGGAGGGGGAUUUGGUUUGGCUGGAGUGCUGCUGUCCUCUUUAGUUGCUAAGACAUGGGAAGUUUUGGGGGUUCCAGUGGGCCAGGCUGUACACCCCAAUUCCAGGAAUCCUCUCAACUCUGUCACCCUGGUUGUAAGAUUACAAGGCCCAGUCUUUUCUGUGGGUCCAGUACUUUGCUGACUGAGGGACCUUUCCAGACCCAAGGACACACUGUAUCCUAACCAAAAGACCGAUCCAUUCAUCCAUCCACCCAUCUAUGUUGCUUUCCUUUCUUCAGAUUUAUUUUAUUUUUAUGUAAUGUCUGAGUGCCUAAAUCUACAUGGAUGCCUGGUACCCUCAGAGGCCAGAAGAGGCCAUCAGCUCCCCUGGACCUGCCAUGUGGGAACAGGGAAACAAAUGAGGUUUAGCCACAGAGCCAUCUCUAUAGCCUGCCCCCCAACCCUUCUGAAACAUAGUCAUGCUCUGUAGCUGAGGAUGGCCCACGACCCUCAUGUUUUAAUCCCUCAUGUGCUAGUGUUAAAGGCACAGGCCACCACAACCAGCUCAGAAAUGACAUCUUGCAAUAUUUUCACAACUCAUACACCGGCAGGCCCAAGCCACAGAAAGCAGACCUCUGCUGGUCUCAGGGCCAGAUGGUGGUCAGGGUCUAUCUUUGGGUGAAGAAAGAAGAUGUGGUGAGAGGCAUCUUCUGAUGGGUUGUGCUCUGCAGUGGUGUCCUGCUGCAGGAAGCUAGGCUGAGGUCUAUCAGAUGACCAACCUCUCCAGGCAGCAGGUCAAGAGCCACGGAAGGUGACAACCCACAGUCCCAGAACCCCAGCACUCUGUUGGGUCUGCAGCUGCCACAACCUCUCAGCCCGAUAGCAGCCCCCUGAGGCUUUGAAAAACAGAAAAACAGGCCCGCUGGUGUAGCUCAGUGGUAAAGCGCUCAUUAACCAGGUUCAAGGCCCAAGAUUCUAUCUCUAGUACUGAAAAAAAGAAGUGAAGAGGAAG